UACGGAGGAUGCGAGCGUUAUCCGGAUUUAUUGGGUUUAAAGGGUGCGUAGGCGGAUUGAUAAGUCAGUGGUGAAAUUCUACAGCUUAACUGUAGACUUGCCGUUGAUACUGGGGAGCUAGGAUUUGGUUGCUGUGGGUGGAAUGUGUGGUGUAGCGGUGAAAUGCUUAGAGAUCACACAGAAUAUCGAUUGCGAAGGCAGCUCACAAAGCCAAGAUUGACGCUGAGGCACGAAAGUGUGGGGAUCAAACAGGA
rnacentral:rRNA from 1 species